UCAGCGGAUAUGCACAAUUUUUAAUUACAUGCGAUUACAAAAGUAUUCAGAUCCAGCUGCUGGUUUGAAAUAUGUAGAAUCCGUUUUGUGACACAACCCCUUUAAGGGAGCCGUGAGAGAAACCUCAGGAGUAAAUCAAACCCUAGGUACAGUUUGUCUUACAAGGCACUCUGAUACAUUCACAUUGCUUGCCAUAUGUACCACGAAAGCUGCUGAUACACACAGCAAGUGA